GAUGAACGCUGGCGGCGUGCUUAACACAUGCAAGUCGAACGAGAAGUGGAGACGGAAACCUUCGGGCGGAAGACUUUAUUUCGAGUGGCGGACGGGUGAGUAACGCGUGGGUACCCUGCCUCAUACAGGGGGAUAACAGUUGGAAACGACUGUUAAUACCGCAUAAGACUACAGCACCGCAUGGUGCGGCGGUAAAAACUCCGGUGGUAUGAGAUGGACCCGCGUUCGAUUAGCCAGUUGGCGGGGUAACGGCCCACCAAAGCGACGAUCGAUAGCCGAACGGAGAAGAUGACCGGCCACAAUGAGACUGAGACACGGCCCAAACUCCUACGGGAGGCAGCAGUGGGGAAUAUUACACAAUGGGGGAAACCCUGAUGCAGCGACGCCGCGUGAGUGAAGAAGUAUUGCGGUAUGUAAAGCUCUAUCAGCAGGGAAGAAAAGUACGGUACCUGAGUAAGAAGCCCCGGCUAACUACGUG
rnacentral:rRNA from 1 species